AUUGAGUGUAUUAAAGAAAUACAACGUCAAUAUUAUAGAGAAUUUGCUUAUAAACAUCAGCUUGUAAAAAUUCGGAAACAAUUUGUAGAAAGAUUAGAAUUGUUAAAUAAAGAAAUAAGAAACCUAGAAAUAGAUAUUUUAAAUUUUAAAGAAACAGACGAAAUAAUUACCAUAACAUCUAACUAUUAUAAAAAAGCAUUAAUUAG
rnacentral:lncRNA from 1 species